GGGUGUGUAGCUCAGUGGUAGAGCGCUACGUUGACAUCGUAGAGGUCGAUGGUUCGAUACCGUCCACACCCA
rnacentral:tRNA from 1 species